rnacentral:rRNA from 1 species
UACGGGGGGGGCAAGCGUUGUUCGGAAUUACUGGGCGUAAAGGGCUCGUAGGCGGCCAACUAAGUCAGACGUGAAAUCCCUCGGCUUAACCGGGGAACUGCGUCUGAUACUGGAUGGCUUGAGUUUGGGAGAGGGAUGCGGAAUUCCAGGUGUAGCGGUGAAAUGCGUAGAUAUCUGGAGGAACACCGGUGGCGAAGGCGGCAUCCUGGACCAACACUGACACUGAGGAGCGAAAGCGUGGGGAGCAAACAGG